rnacentral:rRNA from 1 species
CAGCCGCCACGGUAAUACGUAGGUGGCAAGCGUUGUCCGGAUUUAUUGGGCGUAAAGGGCUCGCAGGCGGUUUCUUAAGUCUGAUGUGAAAGCCCCCGGCUCAACCGGGGAGGGUCAUUGGAAACUGGGAAACUUGAGUGCAGAAGAGGAGAGUGGAAUUCCACGUGUAGCGGUGAAAUGCGUAGAGAUGUGGAGGAACACCAGUGGCGAAGGCGACUCUCUGGUCUGUAACUGACGCUGAGGAGCGAAAGCGUGGGGAGCGAACAGGAUUAGAUACCCCAGUAGUCCCUGUCUCUUAUAC